rnacentral:rRNA from 1 species
CACCCCAAAAAUAAAUUAAGUUUUUUUCUCUAUUUUGAUUUGUUGAUCGCCCGCCCGGGCGGGGAGUAUGAACAGUAACCCUUCCCUCGUCCCGCAUGGACGACGAGCGCCUUUUCUAAGCGAGCUGCGGACGGGCUAGAAACGCUGGGGAACGGGCCCAGAUGUCUGAAUAGUCACUGGACUGGUGAGCAAUACAUUAUUCGCCCUUCGGGGGAAAGAUUUAUCGGGGUGGGCACCCCGCGCGACCAUCGAUACAUGGGGGGGUAACGGCCUACCAAGUCUACGAUCUAUAGCUGGCUUUACAGGAUGAUCCGCAACACUGGGACCGACACACGCCCCAGACUCCUACCGGAGGCAUCAGCGGGGAAUCUUGGACAAUGGGUGCUAGCCUGAUCCCACCAUGCCGCAUGACUGAUGAAGGGCCUAGGGUCGUGAGCUCUUUCGCUUGUGAAGAUUAUGACGGUAGCAGGUUAUGAAAGCCAGGCAAACUCCAUGCCAGCAAACGCGGUAAACCCUCGGGGUUAGCGUUGUUCGGAAUUACUGGGCGUACAGCGCGCUUAGGCGGACUAUUACGUCGUAGGAGAAAUCCCGGGGCUCAUCCCCGGCCCUGCCUUUGAUACUGCUAGUCUUGAUUUCCCGAGAUGUAAUUGGAAUUCAGAGUGUAUAGGAGAAGUCAUAGAUUUUCGGAGGAGCACCAGUG